AAAAUUAUCAGUAUUAUUCGGUGUGGAGGGCUGGAACAAGCAACACAAAAAUUCUAAAUUUUCCAAGUUUUAUUCGGUUUAAAUUUUGACUAGAGAUUAAGAAUAAAGUGAAAUUAUGUUUAAGCUAAUUUAAGAAAAAAGUGAAAAACAAAAACACAAACAGAACCAAACAAAAAAAGACAGUGAAAAGAAAACAAAAGAGCCGCCUCCGUCCCUAAGGCUAUACUUAGGUCUCUGUAGACAACACAAACCAACCAACAGUGGCUGCUGCAUAUUCUGUAAGACCGAUUUCCAAUUACACCCGAAUCAAUAGAAUAACAACUAAAAGGCUUGUGCGAUUCAGCGUGGUGCUACUCUGAUGUCUCCGUCGUUGUCCAAUCAACGACGGCGAUGCUCUUCACUCACUUAACACACUUUUGCUGAACUGACAGCAGACUGGCUUGUAUAUUAAUGAAUGAACCCUACAAAUCAUACAUAUUUUUUGAUAAUUACACAUAUUCUAUUUUGAUACUAA